GACGAACGCUGGCGGCGUGCUUAACACAUGCAAGUCGAACGGAAAGGCCCUGCUUUUGUGGGGUGCUCGAGUGGGGAACGGGUGAGUAACACGUGAGUAACCUGCCCUUGACUUUGGGAUAACUUAAGGAAACUGGGGCUAAUACCGGAUAGGAGCUCCUGCUGCAUGGGGGGGGUUGGAAAGUUUCGGCGGUUGGGGAUGGACUCGCGGCUUAUCAGCUUGUUGGUGGGGUAGUGGCUUACCAAGGCUUUGACGGGUAGCCGGCCUGAGAGGGUGACCGGCCACAUUGGGACUGAGAUACGGCCCAGACUCCUACGGGAGGCAGCAGUGGGGAAUAUUGCACAAUGGGCGGAAGCCUGAUGCAGCAACGCCGCGUGCGGGAUGACGGCCUUCGGGUUGUAAACCGCUUUCGCCUGUGACGAAGCGUGAGUGACGGUAAUGGGUAAAGAAGCACCGGCUAACUACGUG
rnacentral:rRNA from 1 species